rnacentral:rRNA from 1 species
UACGGAGGGUGCGAGCGUUGUCCGGAAUCAUUGGGCGUAAAGGGCGCGUAGGUGGCGGGACAAGCGUGCGGUGAAAGCUCGGGGCUCAACCCCGAGUCGGCCGUGCGAACUGUCUUGCUUGAGCACUGUAGAGGCAGGCGGAAUUCCGGGUGUAGCGGUGAAAUGCGCAGAUAUCAGGAGGAACACCGGUGGCGAAGGCGGUUCUCUGGGAAUGUCCUGACGCUGAGGAGCGAAAGUGUGGGGAGCGAACAGG